UACGUAGGGUGCGAGCGUUGUCCGGAAUUAUUGGGCGUAAAGAGCUCGUAGGCGGUGUGUCGCGUCGGUCGUGAAAACUUGGGGCUUAACUCUGAGCUUGCGGUCGAUACGGGCAUCACUUGAGUUCGGCAGGGGAGACUGGAAUUCCUGGUGUAGCGGUGAAAUGCGCAGAUAUCAGGAGGAACACCGGUGGCGAAGGCGGGUCU
rnacentral:rRNA from 1 species